rnacentral:rRNA from 1 species
UAGGGAAUCUUCGGCAAUGGACGAAAGUCUGACCGAGCAACGCCGCGUGAGUGAAGAAGGUUUUCGGAUCGUAAAACUCUGUUGUUAGAGAAGAACAAGGACGUUAGUAACUGAACGUCCCCUGACGGUAUCUAACCAGAAAGCCACGGCUAACUACGUGCCAGCAGCCGCGGUAAUACGUAGGUGGCAAGCGUUGUCCGGAUUUAUUGGGCGUAAAGCGAGCGCAGGCGGUUUCUUAAGUCUGAUGUGAAAGCCCCCGGCUCAACCGGGGAGGGUCAUUGGGAACUGGGAGACUUGAGUGCAGAAGAGGAGGGUGGAAUUCCAUGUGUAGCGGUGAAAUGCGUAGAUAUAUGGAGGAACACCAGUGGCGAAGGCGGCUCUCUGGUCUGUAACUGACGCUGAGGCUCGAAAGCGUGGGGAGCAAACAGG